rnacentral:rRNA from 1 species
UACGUAGGAUCCAAGCGUUGUCCGGAUUUACUGGGUGUAAAGGGUGCGCAGGCGGACUUGUUAGUCAGAGGUGAAAUCUCACUGCUCAACAGUGAAACUGCCUUUGAUACUGCAGGUCUUGAAUCCAGAAGAGAGUUGUGGAGUUCCGAGUGUAGCAGUGAAAUGUGUAGAUAUUCGGAAGAACACCAGCGGCGAAGGCAGCAACUUGGUCUGGUAUUGACGCUCAGGCACGAAAGCAUGGGGAUCAAACAGG